UACGUAGGGUGCAAGCGUUAAUCGGAAUUACUGGGCGUAAAGCGUGCGCAGGCGGUUAUGUAAGACAGGUGUGAAAUCCCCGGGCUUAACCUGGGAACUGCAUUUGUGACUGCAUAGCUAGAGUACGGUAGAGGGGGAUGGAAUUCCGCGUGUAGCAGUGAAAUGCGUAGAUAUCUGGAGGAAUACCGGUGGCGAAGGCGGCAUCCUGGACCAUUACUGACGCUGAGGCGCGAAAGCUAGGGGAGCAAACGGG
rnacentral:rRNA from 1 species